CGCCGGGUCUGCUCCCGGGCGCCGGCGCUGCUGCCUCGCUCCCCUCCGUCAUUUUGGGUAGACUUGGGGUUUGCAGAUCUUUGCUUGUGGUCGCUGUAAACCACGUUGUCUGCCCGAGUAGCAUCGGUAAAAAUAAACCACCCUAUGCAGAAAACCGCUGUGUCGGUUUUUGUUCUCGGAUUUAAGAGAAGACGGCGGGGAGCUCCGAGCCCGACCUAGGUCUGGCCGAGUAGGAACGAAGGCUGAAGGCGACUCUCGGAGUGGAGGAAGCGGCUCUGGGCUCGGCGCCGCCCGGGCUCUGAAGCUGGCAAGUGGAUUUACUCUGGGGAGAAGCGACCGUGUUUUGCGACCUUGCAAGACCUAUCUGUGCAGUAAUAUGAAGAGAGCAAGCACUGAAGUGGACCAAACAAAACUUCUAGUAAAUCAGAAAUGUGGUCACAGCCAGCCAGCGUACAAAGGCUGAGAGAGCUGCAGUGUUCAGGACAGAAACAAAUGCAGCAAAAUAAGCGGGGAAGCUUAUUCCCCUUAGAGCUACGCUUAUGGCAUUAUUAAGACCGCAGAGCGAUGUGCCCAAAGGUCUAGAACCCCGCUCGGAAGACAGCGUGCACAGCGCAGGCCAGCCCUCUGUACACGCGCCUCCCUUCAGCUCUGGCUUCCUGCUUCUCUCGCUGGGCCUCCUCUCUCUGUUAGCAAACAUGGUGGGCUUGCUUUGAAGCUGACUGCAUAAGACAGAAGAGGACCAUCCUAUUUCCUUUCAGCGCUUCUUUCACGUUACCAAAUUGUGAAGCCAGUGCUGCAAGCUGACAGCAUAACUGGUUAUGCAGAAGAAGCAGAAGCAGCGUUCAGGAGGUGGCACUGGACUGAUCAAGGGCAGCAUGGCAGAAAUGAAACUUUCAGCCCCUGCUCUUGCCAGGCAUUUCCACAGAAAUGUGCUUUUCAGGUUCAUGGCUGUACUAAUAUACACCAUUACACGCAUUUUGGAAAUCCAGCUCUUACACUGCUGAUCACACAUUUAUUUUCAAUCCCAAGGCCCCGGGGCACUCAAAAUGACAGUACAAACAAGAGUUCUGAAAUGGGCUCAUAACACCCGCUCAGGAUCUGAAGCAACUGCUGCUGGAUUAAAUCGUGGUCCUUGGGAACGGAGUCCCAAGGUGGGACGAAAAUUCAACUGCAGAACCUGUGCUGCCAACUGGGAGCCACAAGUCCUAUGUGAAACUGUAAGUGGGUUCCCCAACAGAAAAGCUUUGGAAGCACUAUUCAAAAAUAACUACUCACAGGAAAACUUGGGAGUGCUACUUAUAGUGGCUCACGUAGGAUAGAAGGUAAUGGAAUAUGUAGGUGAGAGAGAAAAUGUUCUCCUUUAAACACAGCAAUAUGUGUAAGAUGAGUCAUGCCUCCUGGUCUUUAAUUUGACAUUGUCAUAGUAAAAAUAAAAGAUACAAAAGCUAAAUAGAAAAUGUUAAUAAGAUGUAUUAUACUCCAUAUUAAAACUGUUUUAAUUUGGGAAAAAAUGGUUUUUAAUGGAAAAGACAUUGUCAGCCAUUGCUGUUUGGAUUACUAUGUCAUGAUUAAAUGGCUGAUGGAUCAACUCAAGCUCAGCUGCAGAGCUGAAUGUUAUAUCUAGCGUUCUGCAGUCUUGCCUCAGACUCAUGAUUUUAGAGAAUCUUCUAACUUGGAGAUCUUGUAAUGGUAUCAAUUCUCAAAGGCACUGAGGUACAGCUAGUACUUGACGCACUCUGAACUAUACUCAGGAGAUGAAUCAAAAAUAUGUUAAAACUGUGUAGAAAAUGUAGUUUGAAAAGUCAUCUUUAAUCUAAUGCUUACUGAACUAUUUUAAUUCAGCUUCCCUGAAUGCAGCAAUAAAAGUAUAUUGGCCCUUUUUCUCAUCUGUCUGAUGCCUCCUUUAGUCACUUGACAUACGGGCGAACGGCUCAAAUGACUUUAUUUGCACCAUUGUGAAAGAAUGGUUUCAACAGCUGCUCCACCUCCCUGCUACAUGGCCUCAUCAUGAACAGCUGUAGACUGGCUGGGGACAGCCAGUCUGCACAUACUUACUUUUUGGGUGCUACUGAGACUGGGGGGGUCCUUAAAUGAAAUGAUGAAUUACUAUACAGAUAAUGGGAAAGGAAGACAUCUAGAAAAAAUUGCUCGAUCAGCCUCACUAGUACGCAGAAUAACAAAAAAGGUAGGCUAGAUUUACACUAGCAAGGGAGUUAGAUAUAAGA